ensembl:lncRNA
UGCAGAUGAACCACUGAUGUCACAUUGAUUAUUGUAUAGAUUCUUGCUACGUUUCUGGAUUUGGGAACAUUUCAGUUGCAUUGCUGUCUAUGCAGGGUCAGACAGCUCUCAGAUUCCAUCAAAAAUAUCUUCAUUUGUGUUCCGAAGAUGAACAAAGGUCUUACGGGUUUGAAAACGACAUGAGGAAGAAAGAAAUUCAUACAGGUUUGGAACAACAUCCCCUUCUAGGGAACUCCAUGCUGCGUCGUCAUGACCAAUGUCUGAAGCACAUGUGAAACAAUGCCAAUCCUAUUGGUCCACGUGGCCCGUGACAUCAUAGGCGGAUGCCCGGAAACAUAAAAGGGCACCUGCUGAAAACCUCACCAACUUUUGUUGUCUUCAGGAGCCAUCUGUCUGAAGUGUGUGUGAGAGACCAAGGCAGGUGAGCAUUGUAGAAAUUGUGUGCCUCCGUGCCCAAGGACACUUGAGGAUGCACACAAUCUAUAUGAGUCAUGUGUCUUGGUCAGGGGCUUGUGCAUUCGUGCUUGAGGGCUCUGAAUGUGCUCAUUGUGAGUGUUUCCAAUGGGAAAGCUCCUUUCGUGUUUGUCCCUCUUCUCGAAAGAUGAGUAAAGACCUGAACACCUGAAGCUGUCAGGAGAUGGACAAUUUCGUGAAAUUUGGCUCGAAAGGAGUAACAGCACAAUGAAGUUGUGAUUGUAAGUUGCAGACUGUAAGGCGUAAAUGUGCAGAAAAUGUGCAUUCACAGAUGUAGCCUAUGUCGAUCCAAAUUUGGAAAGUACUGUUGAAUUUAAUAAUCUGAAGUUCUCUCCAGAGAUGUUUUGCCACAUUUCUGCAAUUAAGGAUAAUUGCUUCUUUUUGCCUGAACAUCUUCAUGUGAGUGGCGGGGCAAACCGAAAGUUGAUGCCGAAAGUUCAGCACUCUCCUACCUUCACUGCUGAUACUGUGACUUCUUGUUUGUAUGUGAUCCUUCGCUGACAUUUUCCACAUUUUGUGUUUCUCCCCUUAUAACAAAUUUGUCCAUUCUGAUGCUCAGUUUUACCGAACUAAUGGCUACUGAUGACUAUCUGAAUUGAAUUCUGCCAAAGUGCACGCUUGUAAGUGUUUGUUAAAUGCAGAACAUUAAUUAUGUGAGUACAGGUCUGCUCAUGUCUGAAAAUAAUAUAUGAAAAACUAAAUUAUUUUACAAAACAAAAACAUUAUAGCUUAUAUUUGUUUAGUACAUUUUUAUUAAUUAAUGUAAAAACUAAAAUGAAUUGUAAAACUGAAAGUUACUUUUUUAAUUGUGUUCAGCAUGGUUGGCUGCAUUUGAAUUCGUGAAAGGGCGCGGGUUGAGAACCACUGGGAUACAGCAUUACUCUCUUUA